rnacentral:Y_RNA from 1 species
GGCUGGUCUGACGAUACAGAGUUAUCUCAAUUGAUUAUUUCCUGUCAGGUACAGAUAGAACUGCUUGUCCUACUCUUUCCUGCUUCUCACUACUGCACUUGACUAGUCUGAA